rnacentral:lncRNA from 1 species
GCCUUUGGCAGGAACAGGGAUCCUGGGAGCCUGCCAAGCAGAGCGCACAGUGUUCCUGGAGUCUCGCUGCCCAGAUGCCACGGAAUCAGUUGAAGGACGUGGCAGCUGGUUGGACGAGGGGAGCUGGUGGGCAGGGUUUGAUCCCAGGGCCUGGGCAACGGAGGUGUAGCUGGCAGCAGCGGGCAGGUGAGGACCCCAUCUGCCGGGCAGCCAGGUCUCCAGCUGGGGUGGACGUGCCCACCAGCUGCCGAAGGCCAAGACGCCAGGUCCGGUGGACGUGACAAGCAGGACAUGACAUGGUCCGGUGUGACGGCGAGGACAGAGGAGGCGCGUCCGGCCUUCCUGAACACCUUAGGCUGGUGGGGCUGCGGCAAGAAGCGGGUCUGUUUCUUUACUUCCUCCACGGAGUCGGCACACUAUGGCUGCCCUCUGGGCUCCCAGAACCCACAACAUGAAAGAAAUGGUGCUACCCAGCUCAAGCCUGGGCCUUUGAAUCCGGACACAAAACCCUCUAGCUUGGAAAUGAAUAUGCUGCACUUUACAACCACUGCACUACCUGACUCAGGAAUCGGCUCUGGAAGGUGAAGCUAGAGGAACCAGACCUCAUCAGCCCAACAUCAAAGACACCAUCGGAACAGCAGCGCCCGCAGCACCCACCCCGCACCGGCGACUCCAUCUUCAUGGCCACCCCCUGCGGCGGACGGUUGACCACCAGCCACCACAUCAUCCCAGAGCUGAGCUCCUCCAGCGGGAUGACGCCGUCCCCACCACCUCCCUCUUCUUCUUUUUCAUCCUUCUGUCUCUUUGUUUCUGAGCUUUCCUGUCUUUCCUUUUUUCUGAGAGAUUCAAAGCCUCCACGACUCUGUUUCCCCCGUCCCUUCUGAAUUUAAUUUGCACUAAGUCAUUUGCACUGGUUGGAGUUGUGGAGACGGCCUUGAGUCUCAGUACGAGUGUGCGUGAGUGUGAGCCACCUUGGCAAGUGCCUGUGCAGGGCCCGGCCGCCCUCCAUCUGGGCCGGGUGACUGGGCGCCGGCUGUGUGCCCGAGGCCUCACCCUGCCCUCGCCUAGUCUGGAAGCUCCGACCGACAUCACGGAGCAGCCUUCAAGCAUUCCAUUACGCCCCAUCUCGCUCUGUGCCCCUCCCCACCAGGGCUUCAGCAGGAGCCCUGGACUCAUCAUCAAUAAACACUGUUACAGCAA